rnacentral:lncRNA from 1 species
UGGGACCCGAUAUUCACAAUCAUACAAAAUGUGUGUACCAUAGUUCUUAUUUCAUUCGCAUUAUGUGGUAUUUAAAUGUACUUGUGGUUGACAAGUAUAUAUACACUCCAAGUUCACUCUGCCUUGCUCUUGGUCUCACAAAACUGUUUAAACUGUUAGUAUUAUUUAAACUAUUCUCCUGUUUACAAUAUUAUAAUUUUUGCACAUGCAUUCCUUCAUUUACAUGCACUUCUCCUUGUAAGAUUCCAAGGUCAUGAUCAAUUAAUCCUGUUGUUCAUAAUCAACAAUCCUAUCCUUUGAAAAUUGUCUAAGGCAGCU